UUGAACGCUGGCGGCAGGCCUAACACAUGCAAGUCGAACGGUAACAGAAAGCAGCUUGCUGCUUUGCUGACGAGUGGCGGACGGGUGAGUAAUGUCUGGGAAACUGCCUGAUGGAGGGGGAUAACUACUGGAAACGGUAGCUAAUACCGCAUAACGUCGCAAGACCAAAGAGGGGGACCUUCGGGCCUCUUGCCAUCGGAUGUGCCCAGAUGGGAUUAGCUUGUUGGUGGGGUAACGGCUCACCAAGGCGACGAUCCCUAGCUGGUCUGAGAGGAUGACCAGCCACCCUGGAACUGAGACACGGUCCAGACUCCUACGGGAGGCAGCAGUGGGGAAUAUUGCACAAUGGGCGCAAGCCUGAUGCAGCCAUGCCGCGUGUAUGAAGAAGGCCUUCGGGUUGUAAAGUACUUUCAGCGGGGAGGAAGGGAGUAAAGUUAAUACCUUUGCUCAUUGACGUUACCCGCAGAAGAAGCACCGGCUAACUCCGUG
rnacentral:rRNA from 1 species